AACGAACGCUGGCGGCAUGCCUAACACAUGCAAGUCGAACGAGACCUUCGGGUCUAGUGGCGCACGGGUGCGUAACGCGUGGGAACCUGCCCUUAGGUUCGGAAUAACUCCCCGAAAGGGGUGCUAAUACCGGAUAAUGUCUUCUGACCAAAGAUUUAUUGCCUUUGGAUGGGCCCGUGUUGGAUUAGCUAGUUGGUAUGGUAAAAGCAUACCAAGGCGACGAUGCAUAGCUGGUCUGAGACGAUGCACAGCCACACGGGGACUGAGACACGGCCCAAACCCGUACUGGAGGCAGCAGUCGAGAAUACUGUACAGUGGGCGAAAUCCUGAUCCAUCAAUGCCGCAUGAGUGAAGCAAGCCUUAGGGUUGUAAAGCUCUUUUACCCGGGAUGAUAAUGACAGUACCGGGACAAUAAGCUCCGGCUAACUUCGUG
rnacentral:rRNA from 1 species